UACGGAGGGUGCAAGCGUUAUCCGGAUUUAUUGGGUUUAAAGGGUUCGUAGGCGGAUCUGUAAGUCAGUGGUGAAAUCUCAUAGCUUAACUAUGAAACUGCCAUUGAUACUGCAGGUCUUGAGUAAGGUAGAAGUAGCUGGAAUAAGUAGUGUAGCGGUGAAAUGCAUAGAUAUUACUUAGAACACCAAUUGCGAAGGCAGGUUACUAUGUCUUAACUGACGCUGAUGGACGAAAGCGUGGGGAGCGAACAGG
rnacentral:rRNA from 1 species